rnacentral:rRNA from 1 species
UACGUAGGGUGCAAGCGUUAAUCGGAAUUACUGGGCGUAAAGCGUGCGCAGGCGGUGAUGUAAGACAGGCGUGAAAUCCCCGGGCUCAACCUGGGAAUGGCGCUUGUGACUGCAUCGCUGGAGUGCGGCAGAGGGGGAUGGAAUUCCGCGUGUAGCAGUGAAAUGCGUAGAUAUGCGGAGGAACACCAAUGGCGAAGGCAAUCCCCUGGGCCUGCACUGACGCUCAUGCACGAAAGCGUGGGGAGCAAACAGG